GCACUGCUGUGAAUCAGUUACAGACUCAGGAACGCCUAUCCUUCCUUAUCUUUGAUUCCCAACGUGCCCAGUGUGGAGCCUGACACUAGGUCCUUAAACAUGGUGAGAUUGGUCAUUAAAAAUGCGCCAACUACACUUGGAGUAAAGAAAAUAGGAACUCAGAGACACAGAAUGGACGGCUAAUCUACCCAUCAGUAAGUCACAGUUACUUCCAGAAACAAAAGUACCG